CAGGCUUUCGCCAUCACUAGAUGACAGCCUUUAAGGGUAAGGUCAAGCUAGAGAGAGUUGUCAAGUGUAUUAAGGAGGCCAAUGACAGCAAUGCCAGUGGGAAAGUCUUUAAAACAUUCUUUCAUGCAGUGGUUAGUCUCUAGAAUAUCUUCCUGGAUGUUCCAAAGCCAUCUUAAUCAUUCAAUCAGCAAGUAUUUAUUGAGUGCUGUCUACGUGCCAGGCAUUGUGCUUAGCUCUGGACUGGACUUGUCAAAAGGAGUGGAGCAUUGAGAAGGUAGAGGGAGAAAUGAUAAUUUUUAGGGAAAUGGCUAUUCUGUAGGAGGAAGAGAGCAAUUUGCUGUAUGACAUAUCUCUGGAGGCUGAGCAAGUGGAAGAACCAUGGUGUCUGGAGGGGGUGCAUCAGAAGGGCACCUGCUGAAUCACCUGCAUGUGUCUGGGCACGGGUGGGAGGGAAGGUGGGAGAACAGUUGCAUGAAUAGUUUUGAAUGGUGUCUUGCCAAGUUGGAGCAUGUGUUAGAAUGGAAGAUUGGAGAUUAAUUGGUUAAAUAGUCCAGGAAGAUGGAGACCCUCUUUCAUGAUCAGGUACUUUGCUCCAAAUUUGGGUGGUUGUAGGGUGAGUGGGGGUGUGUGCAGGGAGACACCUUACUUUGAAUGUGGUAGGGAGCACACCUGAAGUAGAGACAAUGUUAAUUACAGAGGAAUUUAGGAUUGGGAAUGGUCCUGCUGCCUGGCUUCUCCUUACCUUGGAGGCAGACAUCAAGAGUCGGGUCAAGUUAAAGUUACCGAGUGUAUUAAUUUCCUAAGGGCUGAUAAAAUGUAUUACCAUAUACUGGAUGCCUUAAAAUAACAGAAAUUUAUUCUCUCGUAGUUCUGGAGACCAGAAAUCUGAUGUCAGCAUGUUGGCAGGACCGAACUGCCUCCAAGUCUCUAGGGGAGAAUCCUUUCUUGCCUCUUCCAUCUUCUAGUGGCUCCGGGUGUUCCUUGGUUUGUAGCUGUAUAACUGCCAUCUCAGUCUCCAUCUUCACAUGGCCUUGUCCUCUGUUUUCCCCUCUGUGUCUUUUAUAAGAAGCCUUGUCAUUGGAUUUAAGGCCCACAUGGAUAAUCUAGGAUGAUCAUGUGUCAAGAUCCUUAUGUACAUCUGCAAAGGCCCUUUUCCCAGAUAAGGUCACAUUCACAGGUUCUGGGAUUUAAGGAGAUACUUAGGGUGCCACCAUUCAACCCACUACACCAAGUCUUUUGCAUACUAUGUUCAGAGACACAAAUGGACAGAGGUGACCUCAUAGGCAAGCCUAUAUUUUAGGGUGUUAUUUUCUUGCCCCAAUUAUCCCCUUUCCACAUAAGUGGAAACCUGUGUUCCCACCAGAUGUCUUGGAUCGUGGCCAGAUGCCAUGGGAAGGUGCAUUUUUCUGCCUGUGCUGGGGCCUGAUGGCUGAGAUAGGCUCAGUCUGGAGCAUUUCCUGAGAGUGGGGCUUCCCUGGUAGUCCAGCAUCCAAGCCACAGUGUCUGCCUGGAUACUUAGCAGUAGGUAAAAAGAAGUUACUU
rnacentral:lncRNA from 1 species